rnacentral:lncRNA from 1 species
CUUGCAGCCAGCUCGGGGUCCAAGGGGCACUCCUGCGGUGCUGCAAAGGAGGAUUUGUGACAACCCAGAGGAUGGAGGAAACGGCGGCUUUGAAAAGGUUUGUGAGCAGCCCCCGGUCCCCUGCCGCUCCGUGAGAAAUCAAACUUCAGGCACUGACGAAGCAUGAAGCCAGCAUCUUAGGAAGAGGCACUUCGGGACUACAAUCCCAGCAUGACCCGGGCUCGGGGACGGGGCGCAGUUCUCGUGGGAGGAGCGGGGCGGUGAGAGCCUGGCUAGGCAGGCUGGAAACAGUAGCUCUUAACGGUCCCCCGCCCGUUGGUGGCAAGGCGGCUGGACUGGAAUCCCAGCAGGCGACAUGCGAGGAGGCGGGCAGCCCAGGAGGGUUGGACACGGCAAUGUGGACCUCGCCGCUUCCACAACGAUGCUGGCUACUGAUCGCGUGCACUUCCUUGCCAAAGAAAAGAAAUUAAUGUUAUGACUGGAUGAAGACAAUUGUGAAGAAACUGCACUUUGAGGUUGUCUAUCUCUGUAUUCUGAUGGAAAAGCGUGGAGUUUAGAAGCACUGCUCACUCCUUCAGUUUCUAACAAGUUUGAGACUAUGGUUAGGUGGUGAGGAAGGCAGGCUCAGCACCCAAGCCUUGGGGAGACGCAGAAAGGGCCCAUCCCAGGCACUCAGGUGGAGUAAAACUGAUGCUCCAGAAAGAUGCCCAGGGAGAUUCUGUCCUGCUGCGUCCGCACUGUACAGAACUGACGCUGUGCCUACGCCCGUUUCAGAAGCGUGGAGUACUUAAGAGUUAAUCUAAAAAAGCAAAUAUAAAAAUGGAUUCAAAAAAAUGAUCACUGUUAAGUUCCACCGGCAAAGUCUUAAAAGCGGUACCAAAGGGAGUAUUUAAAAAGGGAUAAAGUUUUUCCAGGGAACCCUAUUCAGGGCAGAAACACA